CCUUCGAGACGUCGCGUGCCGCGCACCCAACCUUGCCGGCGUGAUUGCCAGAGGUUGCGUGCGGCCGCGAUCGUCAUCCGCAUAAAGGGACAAUGGAUCGGGACGUUCGGAGGCCAGAUACCCCCACGCCCGUCGCAACUCUUCCGCAUCCGAGAGGGACUAGCAGACACCCACGCACCGUGACAGCCCCGAUUUUAGCACGGGGCUUGUCAGGGACGCAAUGAAUGCUUCGUGGUCCCCCUUGCAACCCUACGGAUGCAAGGGAGGAAAGCAACACCGAGGGGCAAAAC
rnacentral:misc_RNA from 1 species